rnacentral:rRNA from 1 species
GAUGAACGCUGGCGGCGUGCCUAAUACAUGCAAGUCGAGCGAACAGACGAGGAGCUUGCUCCUCUGACGUUAGCGGCGGACGGGUGAGUAACACGUGGAUAACCUACCUAUAAGACUGGGAUAACUUCGGGAAACCGGAGCUAAUACCGGAUAAUAUAUUGAACCGCAUUGUUCAAUAGUGAAAGACGGUUUUGCUGUCACUUAUAGAUGGAUCCGCGCCGCAUUAGCUAGUUGGUAAGGUAACGGCUUACCAAGGCAACGAUGCGUAGCCGACCUGAGAGGGUGAUCGGCCACACUGGAACUGAGACACGGUCCAGACUCCUACGGGAGGCAGCAGUAGGGAAUCUUCCGCAAUGGGCGAAAGCCUGACGGAGCAACGCCGCGUGAGUGAUGAAGGUCUUCGGAUCGUAAAACUCUGUUAUUAGGGAAGAACAAAUGUGUAAGUAACUAUGCACGUCUUGACGGUACCUAAUCAGAAAGCCACGGCUAACUACGUG